rnacentral:rRNA from 1 species
GGUGAACGCUGGCGGCGUGCCUAAGACAUGCAAGUCGAGCGGGCCGCGGGGUUUUACUCCGUGGUCAGCGGCGGACGGGUGAGUAACGCGUGGGUGACCUACCCGGACGAGGGGGACAACCCGGGGAAACUCGGGCUAAUCCCCCAUGUGGACCCGCCCCUUCGGGUGUGUCCAAAGGGCUUUGCCCGCUUCCGGAUGGGCCCGCGUCCCAUCAGCUCGUUGGUGGGGUAAUGGCCCACCAAGGCGACGACGGGUAGCCGGGCUGAGAGGGUGGCCGGCCACGGGGGCAAUGAGAACCGGGACCCACUCCUACGGGAGGCAGCAGUGAGGAAUCGUCCGCAAGGAGCGCAAGCCUGACGGAGCGACGCCGCUUGGAGGAAGAGGGCCUGCGGGGUGUACAUUCGUGAACCCGGGCCGAAUCCCCCGACGAGGGGACUGACGGUACCGGGGUAAUAGCGCCGGCCAACUCCGUG